rnacentral:rRNA from 1 species
GUGCCAGCAGCUGCGGUAAUACGUAGGUGGCAAGCGUUGUCCGGAAUUAUUGGGCGUAAAGGGCGCGCAGGUGGUUUCUUAAGUCUGUCUUAAAAGUGCGGGGCUUAACCCCGUGAGGGGACGGAAACUGGGAGACUAGAGUAUCGGAGAGGAAAGCGGAAUUCCUAGUGUAGCGGUGAAAUGCGUAGAUAUUAGGAGGAACACCAGUGGCGAAAAGCGGCUUUUCUGGACGACAACUGACACUGAGGCGCGAAAGCCAGGGGAGCAAACGGGAUUAGAUACCCCGGUAGUCCUGGCCGUAAACGAUGGGUACUAGGUGUAGGAGGUAUCGACCCCUUCUGUGCCGGAGUUAACGCAAUAAGUACCCGCCUGGGGAGUACGGCCGCAAGGCUGAAACUCAAAGGAAUUGACGGGGCCCGCACAAGCGGUGGAGUAUGUGGUUUAAUUCGACGCAACGCGAAGAACCUUACCAAGCCUUGACAUUGAUCGCAAGGGAAGAGAUUUCUGUUCCUUUUCGAAGGACGAGAAAACAGGUAGGUGCACGGCUGUCGUCAGCUCGUGU